CGCGAUGUAAGUUCUUAUAAUAAUGUUUAUUUAUUAAAUGAUUUUAACAUUUUGUAACAUUACAAUUUUUAUCGAUUAUAAAAUGGUGAAUACAAAUGUUGGUUUCUUAAAUAUAUCAUCAUUGUUGAAGAGUUAACGUAUUACAUUUCAUUUUAGUUAUUUUUAAGACUUCAUAUGCACAAAAAAAAUUACGUUUUGGGGCUGAUACAAAUCACCAAAACCAAAUAGGCAACAUCGAUUGUAUAAUGACGAAAGGUGAUUAGGUUUUCUUCUCUCUAUUUUUUUACUAUUGACUUUCCAUAAGUGAUUUUAUUUUCUAUAUCUAUAGAAUUGUGUUUUCGUUCUUAUCUUUGUUUCAUUGAUAUGAA
rnacentral:lncRNA from 1 species